CGCCCAGCCCCGCCCCCCGGAGCCACCUCCCCGCGGGCCUUUCCUGUGCGAAACGGGUGGGUUUUUGUUUUGGAUGCGCAAGUCUGGAGUGUUUGUUUGCUUGAGAAAUAGCAGGUCCCCCUUUGAAAGUCGUAAAGGCCGCUUUAAGUGGUCCUUUCCAACUCCAGCUGUGAAAUUAAACGGGAAAAGGAAGGAGGGAAGAAAAAUUGUAUUACAACGUCUCAUCUCUAUAUCUUCCCUUAUUAAGGUUGGAUAAAAUCAUAGGAUCACAGAAUGGUUUGGGUCGGAAGAGGCCACAGAGCCCACCCAUUUCCAGCCCCCACCGUGGGCUGGGUGCCCCCCACCAGCUCAGGCAGCCCAGGGCCCAUCCAUGGCCUUGAGCACCUCUGGAUAUGGGGCACCCCCAGCUCUCUGGGCAGCAGUGCCGGAGCCUCACUGCCCCGAGUAAAGAAUUCCUUCUUAACAUCUAACCUAGGUUUCCCCUCUUUUAGUUUAAAGCCAUUCCCCCUUGUCCUGUCACUAUUAGAUCACAUGAAAAGUCAGUUCCCGUCUGCUUAUAAGCUCCCUUAUAGGCUCUCAAGGCCUUCUCCUCUCCAAGCUGCUAAAAUACUUUGUACGGAAGUGGAGAAACGAGCUGUGCGCACAUCAGAAUAUCCAUAGAAUCUAAAUUGAUUUCAUUGCUUUAGUCAGCAAAAACUUUUUCUAUUUUUGAAAAGUCACCGUGGAUAUCUUCUAUGGAAAGUAACAUUAUUUUGUUUGAAGUUAUCUUUCAACUUCAGUUUUAAAAGUUACAUUCCAUUUUUUAAAAAAAAAAAACAGCAGUCAGAUUCAAAUAGUAAGGGUUCUUAUGGAGUAGAGAGUAGUAAUAAAGGCUUGCGAGUCAUCAAGCACGACAGCACUGAUCUCACAAACUGAUAGAAAAUGAUUGAUAACAGUCAGAAAGUGAGGGGAGUGGUUUGGCCAAAGGGCUGGAAAUGCUGUCAACCACUCACAGUAGUGUGGUUUGUGAUGGAUAUCACCUGCCAGCACGUCCCAAGCCAUCCAAAAACACAAUUUGGCACAAUUUGGCACCAUUUCUAGAAUACUGUAUGGCAGGAAAACAUUCAUAUGGGUUCUUGGGGGUUUGCUUUUACAUGACAUGCUGGGCUACCUGGGAAGGGAGGAGUCAGGAGAAAGAAUGUAAUUGAAUUUCUCACCGUGGCAACAAAAAGAGAAAUGGGAAAUGUACGCUCCAGAGUCAUUUGCAUAUCAGAGCAGCCUGGCCCCAGAACAUCCCAACAGUGGUUGAGCUGCGUUCAUGCAGACACUGGAGUGCAACCAAAGGGAGAACGCAACAAAUCUCCCAAUAUUGCCAAAUAAGAGGUUACUGGGAGUGGAAUACCCAGGAAUAAUUUGAGGCUUUGUUGGCUCUUGAUACCAACCUGGAAAGUGUUGGCAAAUCUGCUGUGAUGGGGAAGCCUUUCUGAAGAAGGAUCACAAGUGAAUAUGUUCAGUUGCCAAGUGUCAGUGCUUUCCUGGAUGGGUUUUAGACACCAAGGCUUUGGCAGUGAGGGUAUUGCCAUGGCAGUAAUCCAUCACAUGGAGAUCUGUCUGAAGCACAGAAAAUAACAAAAAGAUUUGCCAUGUUGGAUGGGGCCCUGGGCAGCCUGGUCUAGUAUUAGAUGUGGAGGUUGGCAGCCCUGCCUGCAGCAGGGGGGUUGGAGCUUGGUGAUCCUUGAGGUCCCUUCCAACCCAAGCCAUUCUAUGAUUCCAUGAUUCUGUGAUUCUAUGAUAUUGUAAAUCGUAUGGGACUGGAUAAAUAGGCCCAGAGGAAUGUCAGAUGUGUUUGUUUUCUUUUCCUUUGCCUUUUUAGGAGGAGCCUCCUGUGAAGGCAUGGCCCCUUGUUCACCAUCAUGUAUGCAGGGCAGCUGCAUAAAAAGUAGAAGGAAGAAAUGAGCAUUCGCUUUCCUGUCUAUCUUGAUUCAGCCAGGACCCAGCACUUGGUGUUUGUUGAGCUUCACACAGUUGGCCUCAGUCCAUCAAUCCAGUCUAUCCAGAUCCUUUGGUUGGACCUACCCUCAAGCAGAUCAACACUUCCUCCCAGUUUGGUGUCACCUGCAAACUUACUGAGGGUGCACUCAGUCCCCUCAUCCAGAUCAUCACUAAAGAUAUUCAACAGGACUGGUCUUGACACUGGCCCCUGAGGAGCACCACCUGAGACCAGUAAACAGCUGGAUUUAAUUCCAUUCACCACCACUCUCUGGACCAGCCAUCUUUCACAUUCCUUGGGUAAAUGCAGGGCCAUCUCAUACUGUGAACUGAGAUUGACAGUGCUAACAUUUAGCAUAGCCAGGCUGGGAGACUCAAGUGUUGAUUAGAUCAGAAGCUUUCUGAUGCGACCAUUUGCUCUGCAAACCUACUAAAUUAAUUGGCUUAUUAUUAGCAACUUGGCCACGAGCCACAUCUCAUCUGCUGGAAUAUCCUAUAGAGAAAUAAAAUCUAUUUCUUUUCCCUAUUGUUUUGGCAUCCCAUUCUACCACUGAGUACCACAUAACAUCUGACUGUUCCCAGCUGGAUGUGGAAGGAUGAAAACUGAGUCAGCAAGUAUGAUAGCAUGUUUCAAUUUGACUCUGUUAAAAAAUAAAAGAAAAGAGAUGAUGCUUA